AAGCGAUUCAGUCAGUUUUGGUAUAUAUUACUUUAUUAAAGAUUAAGAAUGUGUUUUAACGGUACCAAUGUACAUAUGGACAAACUAGACCAAAUGCGCAAAAGACUCUGUUUAUUACAGUUUAUCCAGUUACUAUGAUUCAACUACGAAAAAGACGUCAGUCAGUCAAUUUAGUGACGAACCCUACAUCCAGCCAUGUGUCGUGUUUUUACCGUGAGCUGCCGAGCUCGUCUGCUGCCAGGCCACUGCCAGUAGUUUGACCAUCACAAAUUGGAUCAAAACCAGUGACUUUAAUUAACUGAAUGCCAAAAUGAGCUAUUUUUUCGAACUGGGAUACGGCCUAGGGUUGUUCAUUAUCAUUUUCAUCUGUGUGGGUAUCGUCGGUUGCUGUGUAGCUCUCUGCUGCUGCUGUUGCAAGAAAAGAAACCCGCAAAGGCACCAAAAUGUGACUACAGUAGUGUACACACAUCCGUCUUCUUCCCAAAUACCCGUUUCUGGGCCUCAGCCACAGUACCCAGCUUACCAGCCAGUACCUCAGCAAGCACACGGCGUACCUUACAUGACAGCACCUCCACCAUCAUACCAGGAAGCUACUGAUCCAGCUCUCUUGCCACACAACCCAGGGAUGAUGUUCCUCCACCCCAGUCAGCCUUCUGGGCACUCAGACGUGCACACACAGUUGCCCUACAAUCCUGCUUUUUACCCAAACACAGCCUCAUUUAACCAACCUGUCAAUAAGUACUGAGUACCACUAGAUGGCGCCACCGUGUUAUGCAUUCCAUUGCAUUCCGCCACCUUCUUAUGCAUUCCAAACAGUCACAAAAGGGUCAAACCUGCUGAUGGUGCUGUAGCUGUGAAGAAAAAUGCCCUCAUAAAUAAUGUUUUGUUUACGUAUUGCUUGCAAUCAAUCGAUAUAGGAUUGAUUUACACAAUUGUUGGUCAAUCCACACACAAAGCUUAAGAAAUGAAACUAUUGCCGUGGCCUUGAUUAUUGAUACUGUUAAACAUCACUAUUUAAGGUCAGUAAAGGUCAGGUCAGUAUAGAACAGCUUUUAUGCACUGUGUAAAAAAUAUUAUUGAUGUCUGUCUGCCUGUGCUAAAGUGAGUUAUGAUAUGGAGAUUUGUAGUUUGGUAUGAUUGUGUCAAUUAUGGCUAAAACAUGUACCGUAUUCUGUAUGUCUGCAGCAUGGGAGGUGGGGCUUGAUGGAAAUUCUCAUAUCAUGAAGGAUCAAAAGCCAAAUACUUUUCUACUGUUUUUUAAUAGGUUUGUAAAACACAAGCAUUAUGUCUUAAAUAGUUCCCAUAAUGCAAUAAAAAUGUUAUUCCCUGCAGUGGGAUGAAACUGCAGUGUUCUGUUCCCGUUCUUCCUUUGGGAUCAUGUGUGGUUGAAUAGCUUUAGUGGGUGUGCUUGCAUUUAAUCCCAUAAUGUCCAGGGCCACUCCCUCUUAUUGCAUCCCCCGCUGUCCAUUAAUCAAUACAGUAUUAGUGCUGACCCCACAAAAUUCCUUUUCCUCUUUCUUUUUUUUUGCCUUUCCUCCUGCUGUCUGGUCAAUGUAAACACAAAGACAGGGCGGUGCUCCUGUGUAUCAGAAAUUAACAUUUUGAUCUGGUUUUAGAUGAUUUAUUCAGGGCUCUUGAGUGAACCAGUGAGCGCUGCGUGGGAGCAGCUGCUGACAAAAGUCAAAACUCCCCAGUGAAUGCCGUUGCCCACAGCCAAGAUGCUCCAAAGAGAUACGUGCCAAACUCCCACACAUACUUGAAAAGACAAACACAUUUGUCACAAUAUUGAGUGUAUAUUUUGAUACAAUAAAAAACAACAACAAUUGGUUCCUUUGACAAAGAAAGUUUCAGCUAAAAAAAAGAGUCAAAAAUACUGAGCUUUGGUUUGUGCAAAUGAAUAAAGUCAGAGUGCCACUCAUGCUUGUCCUCUAAGCAGGUAAUUAAGGUCAUUCCACAGUUUAAACCUGUUAAAGGAGUUUCUGUUCAUUUCUCAUGACAACUAAACCAAUAUUUUACAUGGGCAGAUUUGUCUUUGCAAAAAUAUGCUUAAAUAUUACAUUAAAUAGCACCAGUUUUAAAAUAUGCAUUCAGUAUUUUGUGAAAUUUCUAAUGAGUUAAUUAAAAAAAACAACUUUUUGGUCAUUUUUUGUUUAAUAGACACAUUUUAUUUAUUUAUUUACAAUGGCCUGAUUAUUUGUCAGAAUUCCAUUAGAUUUCUAUUUAGUUUAUUUGAGAUUGUGUCCACUAACUAGAACUGUCUUUGAGAAAAUAAGUUUUUCCUUGUUUGUAACACUAUUAUAUCUGUAUCAGUCUUUUUCUGUUGGCAUAUUUGGAUUAGUUUAAGUUUGAAAGUUAUGUCUUAAUAUAAAGUGUGAACAGUGAGAACUUCUCUUUCAAUUACAUUUCUCUAACCUGACUGAGCUAUUACAUCAGCUGUGUGUUUUGACGAAUAUUCACGUUUAUUAUCUAUAAAUCUUAGUUUAAAAAAAUAAAAAUAAUCGGACGUCAUCCUUAAACGCGUCCAUCUAGGAACCGUUACUAAUUACCCGGUACAUUUACAGGUUGACCCGCAAAAGCGAUUCAGUCAGUUUUGGUAUAUAUUACUUUAUUAAAGAUUAAG
rnacentral:lncRNA from 1 species